AUUGAACGCUGGCGGCAGGCUUAACACAUGCAAGUCGAGCGAGCGGCGGACGGGUGAGUAAUGUCUGGGAAACUGCCUGAUGGCGGGGGAUAACUAAUGGAAACGGUAGCUAAUACCGCAUACCAUCAGAUGUGCCCAGAUGGGAUGAGCUAGUAGGUGGGGUAAUGGCUCCACUAGGCGACGAUCCCUAACUGUUCUGAGAGGAUGACCAGCCACACUGGAACUGAGGACCGGUCCAGACUCCUACGGGAGGCAGCAGUGGUGAAUAUUGCACAAUGGGCGCAAGCCUGAUGCAGCCAUGCCGCGUGUGUUAAGAAGGCCUUCGGGUUGUAAAGCAGUUUCAGCGAGGAGGCGUUACUCGCAGAAGAAGCACCGGCUAACUCCGUGCCAGCAGCCGCGGUAAUAC
rnacentral:rRNA from 1 species